rnacentral:rRNA from 1 species
CCUACGGGUGGCAGCAGUGAGGAAUAUUGGUCAAUGGGCGCGAGCCUGAACCAGCCAAGUCGCGUGAGGGAAGACGGUCCUAUGGAUUGUAAACCUCUUUUGUCGGGGAGCAAAAGACGCCACACGUGGCGUUCCGAGAGUACCCGAAGAAAAAGCAUCGGCUAACUCCGUUCCAGCAGCCGCGGUAAUACGGAGGAUGCGAGCGUUAUCCGGAUUUAGUGGGUGUAAAGGGAGCGUAGACGGCAGCGCAAGUCCGAAGUGAAAGCCCGGGGCCCAACCCCGGGGCUGCUUUGGAAACGGUGAAGCUGGAGUGCAGGAGGGGCAGGCGGAAUUCCUGGUGUAGCGGUGAAAUGCGUAGAUAUCAGGAGGAACACCGGCGGCGAAGGCGACCUGCUAGAACAUAACUGACGCUGAUGCGCGAAAGCGUGGGGAGCAAACAGGAUUAGAUACCCGAGUAGUC